AUUGAACGCUGGCGGCAGGCCUAACACAUGCAAGUCGAACGAGUGGCGGACGGGUGAGUAAUGUCUGGGAAACUGCCCGAUGGCGGGGGAUAACUUCUGGAAACGGUAGCUAAUACCGCAUACCAUCGGAUGUGCCCAUAUGGGAUUAGCUAGUAGGUGGGGUAAAGGCUCACCUAGGCCACGAUCCCUAGCUGGUCUGAGAGGAUGACCAGCCACACUGGGACUGAGACACGGCCCAGACUCCUACGGGAGGCAGCAGUGGGGAAUAUUGGACAAUGGGCGCAAGCCUGAGGCAGCCAUGCCGCGUGUAUGAAGAAGGCCUUCGGGUUGUAAAGUACUUUCAGCGAGGAGGCGGUACUCGCAGAAGAAGCACCGGCUAACUCCGUGCCAGCAGCCGCGGUAAUAC
rnacentral:rRNA from 1 species